rnacentral:rRNA from 1 species
UUGAACGCUGGCGGCAUGCCUUACACAUGCAAGUCGAACGGUAGAGGGGCAACCCUUGAGAGUGGCGAACGGGUGAGUAAUAUAUCGGAACGUGCCCAGUCGUGGGGGAUAACGCAGCGAAAGCUGCGCUAAUACCGCAUACGAUCUAUGGAUGAAAGCGGGGGAUCGCAAAGACCUCGCGCGAUUGGAGCGGCCGAUAUCAGAUUAGGUAGUUGGUGGGGUAAAAGCCCCACCAAGCCGACGAU